GUGGGGAAUAUUGGACAAUGGGCGCAAGCCUGAUCCAGCAAUGCCGCGUGCAGGAAGAAGGCCCUCGGGUUGUAAACUGCUUUUGUACGGAACGAAAAGCCUGGGGCUAAUAUCCCCGGGUCAUGACGGUACCGUAAGAAUAAGCACCGGCUAACUACGUGCCAGCAGCCGCGGUAAUACGUAGGGUGCAAGCGUUAAUCGGAAUUACUGGGCGUAAAGCGUGCGCAGGCGGUUUUGUAAGACAGUGGUGAAAUCCCCGGGCUCAACCUGGGAACUGCCAUUGUGACUGCAAGGCUAGAGUGCGGCAGAGGGGGAUGGAAUUCCGCGUGUAGCAGUGAAAUGCGUAGAUAUGCGGAGGAACACCGAUGGCGAAGGCAAUCCCCUGGGCCUGCACUGACGCUCAUGCACGAAAGCGUGGGGAGCAAACAGGAUUAGAUACCCGGGUAGUCC
rnacentral:rRNA from 1 species